rnacentral:rRNA from 1 species
AGCAAUGGAUCUCUAGGCUCUCACGUCGAUGAAGAACACAGUGAAAUGUGAUACGUAAUGUGAAUGNCAGAAUUCAGUGAAUCAUCGAAUCUUUGAACGCACCUUGCACCUUUUGGUUAUUCCGAAAGGUACGCCUGUUUGAAUGUCACGAAACCCCCCUCGGCUUUAACACUUUCUAAAAGGGUUAUUGACGGAUUCUGAGUGUUGGCGUGUCAACGCCUCGCUUUAAAUAUAUCAGCACUUUUGGACGGUUCCAUGUUAGUUCAAAAGACGUACUUGAUGUCGUAUUUAUACAAUUCAUCGAGAUGGUCUUUGGUCGUAUCGACUAUCCGCUAAUGUGACGACUUGAAGAAUAGCUUCCUAACCCCAAUUGAAUUUACCUUUAGACUUCAAAUCAGGUGGGACUACCCGCUGAACUUAAGCAUAUCAAUAAGCGGAGGA